rnacentral:siRNA from 1 species
GAAGUCCUCGUGUUGCAUCCCU